rnacentral:rRNA from 1 species
GACGUAGGGCGCGAGCGUUGUCCGGAUUUAUUGGGCGUAAAGAGCUCGUAGGCGGCUUGUCGCGUCGACUGUGAAAACCCGCGGCUCAACCGCGGGCCUGCAGCCGAUACGGGCAGGCUGGAGUUCGGUAGGGAGACUGGAAUUCCGUGGUGUAGGCGGUGAAAUGCGCAGAUAUCAGGAGGAACACCGAUGGCGAAGGCAGGGAUCGUCCUGGGCCG